GGUGUAGCAAUCUGUCAGAGUUAAGAGAUGGAUCAUUUUAUACCUUUAUUGUUUUAUCGGGGCUCUCUGAAUUGGCAAAUUUGGCAUCCGGGGAGAAAUGGCCAGGGACUGCUAAAUGCCUGAUAUCUGGAGGAAGGACUGAUUUCAGAGUCACUUCAUUUGACCUCAGGAAGGUACAGCUAAUUAGCCAGCCAUGAAGAACUGAGGAGACAGGUCUACACAUCAAGUUUCUAGGAUGUCCUUCCCGGGAUCUCACAUUGGUUUCUAUGGGAACGAGAAUGGCUCUGAAGAGGAGCAUUUUAAGAACUCUUUUUACAUUCAGUGACUGCUAACUGAACUGCAAAUUCUGUUUGUUAAUGAUUUUUAACUCUUACAUUUUAACACAGAAAUAAAAAUUGGGCAUUCUAGCUUCAUAAAUCAUUUUAAAUAGUAAAAACUAUUUUUAUGAAACAUCUGGCACAUUGAAACAUUAGAAAAUGAAAUAACUGGCUCUAGGACCUAAUAAUCUAUUCACUUUAUUAAAUUCAUUAGUGAUUAAUCCAUAUUAGCCAUGUGCUUACCCUUGGAAAAUUGUGUAAAGAAAACAUCAUCUGAUACAUUGUUUUAGUACAUUUUCUCUGCUAUUGAUGUGUGUAUAUAUGUUUUCUUACUUUUGUAAAAAUUCCUUUAAAAAGCAGUAUAAAAUGUUCUGCAUUUAAAGUUUCCCUCUCCAGUGCCUCACCCAUCCUGUGCUAUUAUUUACCCUGGUACCAUGUUAUACCUUUGCCAUGUUCUCACACCAGCUGGAACUUAUUUUUAGUAUUUUUUGAAACAAGCUCCUAAGUCUUCAAAUUUCACUUUUUCUUUUUCUUGGAAUAGAUUUUUAGAUCAUAAAAGGCCCAAUGUGUAAGUUAUGUAUUACAUUUGUG